rnacentral:lncRNA from 1 species
AGCAUUUGGGAGGUAGAGGCAAGAGGAUUAAGGUCAUACCUCACUGCUUAGCGAGUUGUAGGCCAGCUUGGGCUACAUGAGAGCCUGUCUCAGAAAACCAAACCUAGCGACUGGAGAGAUGGCCCAACAGCUGAGAGCUCUUCCUGCUCUUUCAGAGGAACCAGGCUCGGUUCCCAGAACUCAAAUCAGGUGUUUUACAUUCACCAACCACCUGAUUACAACCACUGAACAACUCAAGUUCUGGGAAAUAUGCCAUCUUCCAGCUCUGUGGGCACAUGCACACAAGAAAAUAAAAAGUUGGUAAGUACAGAGAAGAACCAAUAAUCUAGAUUUAUUCCGGUCGUUUUGGUCCUCCUCCUCCUCCUCCCCCUCCUCCUCUUUGAUUUUUUGAGACAGUGUCUCUCUGUAUAGCCCUGGCUGUCCUGAAACUCACUUUGUAGACCAGGCUGGCCUCGAACUCAGAAAUCCGCCUGCCUCUGCCUCCCGAGUGCUGGGAUUAAAGGCGUGUGCCACCAUGCCCGGCUUGUUAAUGUUUCUUCUUGACAGUAACAUUUGAUAGCAUAUGUUCAAUGCUAGCAAAAUUUGGGCCUUUACAAUCUAGUACCCAUUCCAUAGCAGAUAGUAAAGACUUAGGGAAUGAAAAAAGAAAAGAAAAGAAAGUUCCUCCCACCCUGUCUUAGUUAGGGUUUCGUUGCUGUGAAGAGACAUCAUGACCAAGGCAACUCGAAUAAAGCCAAACAGUUGGAGCUGGCUUACAAUUUCAUUAUCAUUAUGGCAGGAAGUAUGGCAGCAUCCAGACAGGCAUGGUACAGGAGGAGCUGAGAGCUCUACAUCUGGAUCCACAAGUAGAAGAAGGAGACUGUUUUCUACACGGGGCAUAGCUUGAGCAUAGGAGGAGAUCUCAAAGCCCAUCCUCACAGUGACACACUUCCUCCAACAAGACCACACCUAUUCCAACAAGGCCACACCUCCUAGUAGUGCCAUGCCUUAUGGGCCAAACAUUCAAACAUAUGAGGCUAUGGGGGCCAUUCCUAUUCAAACCACCACAGAGUGGUAGCAGUAGAGAUGUGGAAGAUGGUUGUGUUAGAGAAAUGCUGUAUAAGAGGAUCUUUUGAGCUGUGUAUAGUGGCUCAUGACUGUAAUCUCAGCACUUGGGAGGCUGAAGCAGGAGUUUUGCCAUGAGCUUGAGGCCAGUGUGGGUUAUAUAGUGAAUUCAGGCAGCCUGGACUACAGUGAGACUGUCUCAACCUCCCACCUCCACUUAUAAAAAGGAGCUGAAGAGAUGGCUUAGUGGUUUUGAACAUGUAUUGUUCUCACAGGGAAGGCAGAGUUUGGAUCCCAGCACAUCAGGCGGCCACAAUUGCCCAUGGCUCUUGCUACAGGGGAUCUGAUGCCCUCGCCUGGGCUCCACAGGCACCUGCACUCACAAGUAUAUACACACACCCAUAUAUACACACAAUUAAAAACAAAAUAAAUCUUGAGCAAAUCAAAAACGGCCCUAUAAAAAGUACCAUUUAUUAAUAGGAAGUGAUUACAAAUUUCUGAUAUUUGCAUAGCUGAUCAACAUUUGCUAUAUCUAAAGAGAUAUAAACUGUACAGUCUGCUUUAUAUCAGCAUGGGUAAAAUGAUGGAUUUAAUUCAGACAUGUUCAUACAAAGAGGGAUUCCUUUUUUUGAGACAGGGUCUCUGUGUAGCCCUGACUGACCUAUAAUUCACUAUACAGACCAGGCUGGCCUCAAACUCAUAGAGAUCCCAGUGCCAUAUCCUCCAAAGUGCUGGGUUUGAAGGCAUAUGUCAUCAUGCCCAGUGAAGAAUCUUUUAAUGACUUCCUUCCUUCUCUUCUUCCUCCUCUUCUUUGUUGUCCACUGAGACAGGGUUUCUCUGUGUAGCCCUGGCAGUCCUGGAACUCACUCUGUAGACCUGCCUGCGUCUGCCUCUUGAGUGCUGGGAUUAAAGGUAUGUGUGGCACCAUGCCCAGAGACAUUUUAUCCUUCUUGUACUUCACUUGCUAUUUGGUUGUAUGAACAGAGGCUGCCAUUCAGUUAACCUGAUAGUCUAUUUACACUUUCUGAUAUGGGAUCUUAUGCUGUGCAUGCUGGGUAAAUAUUCUCCCACAGAAGUAUGUUCUCAGAGCCACAACUCUAAAUUAUUUUUAGGCAAAGAUCUCCAUGAUUUAAGGUAAUUAUCUGUAAAUCAGGACUGUCUUAGUCAGAGUUUCUAUUCCUGCACAAACAUCAUGACCAAGAAGCAAGUAGGGGAGGAAAGGGUUUAUUUGGCUUACACUUCCACAUUGCUGUUCAUCACCAAGGAAGUCAGGACUGGAACUCAAACAGGUCAGGAAGCAGGAGCUGAUGCAGAGGCCAUGGAGGGAUGUUUUUUACUGGCUUGCCUCCCCUGGCUUGCUCAGCCUGCUCUCUUAUAGAACCCAAGACUACCAGCCCAGAGAUGGUCCCACCCACAAGGGGCCUUUCCCCCUUGAUCACUAAUUGAGAAAAUGCCUUACAGUUGGAUCUCAUGGAGGCAUUUCCUCAACUGAAGCUCCUUUCUCUGUGAUAACUCCAGCCGGUGUCAAGUUGACACACAAAACCAGCCAGUACAAGGACAAAAUUGUGCUGUGAAUUUCCUGGUCAGGACUAGUGGAGGGGAGAGGUUAGGCCCGAAACAAGAAAUCUUCAUGUCGACAGAUCUACUUUGAGAAAUAGACAAUUGGCAUUCUCUCAGUGUUUACACAUAGCCGUGCAAGCAGAGAUUUAAACAGAUAGCUACUUCCAGAUACUUCCUAUAUAGAAACAAGUUUGGAAGCAGCUAUUGUGUGAAUCAUAUGAAGAAAAUUAUUUUAAGAAAUCAAGCC